UACGGGGGGGGCAAGCGUUGUUCGGAAUUACUGGGCGUAAAGGGCUCGUAGGCGGCCAACUAAGUCGGAUGUGAAAUCCCCAGGCUCAACCUGGGAACUGCAUCCGAUACUGGAUGGCUUGAAUUCGGGAGAGGGAUGCAGAAUUCCAGGUGUAGCGGUGAAAUGCGCAGAUAUCAGGAGGAACACCGAUGGCGAAGGCAGCUCGCUGGGACGGUACUGACGCUGAGGCGCGAAAGCGUGGGGAGCAAACAGG
rnacentral:rRNA from 1 species